rnacentral:rRNA from 1 species
GUUGAACGCUGGCGGCAGGCCUAACACAUGCAAGUCGAGCGGAUGAAGGGAGCUUGCUCCUGGAUUCAGCGGCGGACGGGUGAGUAAUGCCUAGGAAUCUGCCUGGUAGUGGGGGAUAACGUCCGGAAACGGGCGCUAAUACCGCAUACGUCCUGAGGGAGAAAGUGGGGGAUCUUCGGACCUCACGCUAUCAGAUGAGCCUAGGUCGGAUUAGCUAGUUGGUGGGGUAAAGGCCUACCAAGGCGACGAUCCGUAACUGGUCUGAGAGGAUGAUCAGUCACACUGGAACUGAGACACGGUCCAGACUCCUACGGGAGGCAGCAGUGGGGAAUAUUGGACAAUGGGCGCAAGCCUGAUCCAGCCAUGCCGCGUGUGUGAAGAAGGUCUUCGGAUUGUAAAGCACUUUAAGUUGGGAGGAAGGGCAGUAAGUUAAUACCUUGCUGUUUUGACGUUACCAACAGAAUAAGCACCGGCUAACUUCGUG